rnacentral:antisense_RNA from 1 species
AGAAACGGGGCUGUGGCUGUCCCAGCACUGUGGGUUCAGAUAGCAGCUGGACAAACUUGCCACAGAGGAUGUCAGAGGCCCUGCCCAGCCUGAUAGGCUGAGGCCAGCUGGGAUGCUGGGAAGAACUAGACACUGGGGUCAGACACUCAGGGUGCACAUCCCAGGGAAGUCACCUGUUGGCAGAGUGGUCUUGGGAGUUCUGCCUCCCAGCACCCCUCUGUCACGGUGACCAAGAGGGCUAGGGGGCAGGGAAGGCGAGAAGAGGGAGGAGACUCUGCUGUGACUCAUAGCAAAGUGAGAGCUUCUUCCCUCCUCUCUGCACCCCAAAUACGCACUUUUCCUGGAAGGGAACAGCUGGGCUGCUGGAGUCACAGAGGAAAUAUUUUUUUGGCUACGUUGCACAUUCCCUUUCUCUAUGAAAAUUGCUGCCACCAUUGCUAACUGAUGGACGGACAGUGAGAUAUCUAUUUCCUUGCCUCCUUCUUUCCUCCCUCUCUGGGCUCUGUCCUGAGGCAUCUGGGAAGGAAAGGGCAGUCAGACAGCAGCCACAGGGAGAGGGUGGUAAGUGGGGAGGACUUUGGUAUCAGGUGUGGGGAGCUGGGGCCCUCAGUAUCAUCAUUAACCCCAUUUUACAGAUGAGGAGACUGAGUCCCAAGAUCACCCAGAUACAAUAAUAAUUGUAGUAUUAACAUUAACCAUAAAAGUUAGCAUUGAAGGAGCACCGGCUGCGUUCCAGGCACUGUGCUAGACACUUCACACGAAGUGAACCUGUGAGGCAGAUCCAUGACUGGCAACAGUGUACAGAGGGGAAAACUGAGGCUCAAAGAAGGCAAGUCACUAGCCCAGCUACUGUCACACAGCCAGGCCAGUAGAGCGGCAAUGUCCACUCACACAACCAUGCACAUGGCCACUGUGUCAGCUGCACACCUUCCCCACUCCCCAUCCGGCUGAAAACUGGUGGAGCUGAGCUCUGAACCCACAUUUGUCCAUGUUCUUACUCCAAGGCUGGGCUCUACUCCCAUGUUGACUGUUGCUGCCAAGAGAACUUUAAACAGCAGUUCUAGCCACAGCAGGACCCAGCCUGAUCCUGGCCCCAACCUGUGGUCAAAGGGGACAGAGAUCCAGGCCCAGCUUGUCUCAGCUUCUGGCCUGACCUCUUUGGGCCUCAGAGGCCUUGCUAUGAAAGGGGGAGCUGUAGGUAGAAUAAAUGAAGUGGGACUGAGGCCCCCCGGGACCACGCUGACUCACCCAUGGUGGCCCAGGGCAUACCCAUUUCCCACGGGUCACCCCUUGUGCACCCUGUUCUCCAGGGCUGGAGACCUCAGGCAGACCCCUGAUUCUCUGGGACCCCAGUCUGCUCCCUGCUGCCCUGCUAAACAGAGUUCCCAAAGAGAGAGACAACAGGAACCCAGGCCUUGGUCUCAAACCUGCAGCCACACACCCCAGUGGCCUCCAGGAAUCCUGCACACACAUCCCAGAACCCCUCAGCUCUGCACGUGCUAUUGUGGGUCCUGGUCCAUGGAACCCCAAGUCCAAACAUAGGGAAGUACCUUUCAGACACAUCCAAGAAAUGACCCUUAAUCCUCCAAGCUAAGAGAGAUCAUCUGGACUAGACGUGGUAGUGACAUAGGCUAGCAGUCUGUAUUGUCUGCAAACCCAGAACUGUCCUUGGCUGGCCAAUGUAAACGUGUUUUAAUAGCAACACACACGGUCAUAUAAAUGGGAAUGUUCUAGGCAAA